rnacentral:sRNA from 1 species
GCAGAUGUGGAUCUCAGCUAUCCUGUGCUGCCAUGCUCUCCACCAUAAGGAUAAUGGGCUAAACCUCUGAAAUGAAGUUCUGCAGGCCCAUGUACUUCAAGCCUCUACUGAAAUGCCACCUUCUGGAAGAACCUACUAGGUAGCGCUCGGAUCCCAGCCAUUCCUUCCUGUCUGCAUUCCCUGAGUUCCCCCAUCAUACCUAAGUAUCUACAUUGGUGCCAUAGAUUCGCUACCAUGGAUGGUGAUGGGCAAGCAUCUCUGCGAAGUGUUGACUUCAGUCUUCUGGAAAAUACUUGUUCAUCACACAAAAUGUCUCCCAAAGAUGUCCAUACGGUAAUUGAAGGCAAAACCUUUCUGGUAAGUGGAAGAUCAUAUAUCAUACACACAGGAUGCAAAGCAGUUAGAGCUGGUAGGUGUUGCUGGACUCUGUGCUAAGUGGGGCA